AGUUGGUUAAGCAAGUGCGAACAUCGCAAGUGGAAUCGAACCUCAUACGGCAUCGAAACACCGGUGAAAGUUUCUUGUUCUACCCACUGUUAAAUCGGGUGUUCCCCGGUAAUAUCAAUGCAAAAUCGAGGAUUCGAUCAUGGCAACAGGUACAGUUAAGUGGUUCAACGACGCUAAAGGCUUUGGCUUCAUUACUCCGGCUGAUAGCGGCGACGAUCUGUUCGUACACUUCUCCGAAAUCCAAGCUGACGGCUUUAAAACUCUGGCUGAAGGUCAGCAGGUUACUUUUGAAGUAACUCAGGGUAAAAAAGGCCUGCAGGCUUCUAACGUUCGUCCGGCUUAAUCCGAGACAGCGUUAACGCUUGAACAAAGCCCGCUUAGAGCGGGCUUUGUUG
rnacentral:sRNA from 1 species